UCAAGGCCACUAUCUCACGUUUUCGCAGUUUUGAUUAAAAAAAAUCUUGCAAAAUGAUGCGAAUGCAGCCCCGUGAGAAGGUUGAUCCUGAUUUAGAGAAAAGGAUGGCAAGGGAAAAUACUGUACAAAAUGCAGCACUAUUCUUUGGAACGAUUAUUCUCCUAAGAGCAGCUCCCAUUAUUUACUCCAAGAUCUUCGACUAAUAAUCGGCAUUUGAAUCAACCUGCCAGGGACCAAGAAUGGACUUGCAGAAAGAAAGAUCUUGCUGCAGAGAUAAGGAUGGAUAGAAAAGAAACUUAAUUGAACAGGAUUAUUUUGUCUGCAGGAUGCGAGGAAUGGACAAUUCACUGUCAGUACCAGUUGAUAGUAUCUAGAAUGUUGGAGUGUACCGAUGAUCACAGGGGUUUUUGCUUUUUGGCUCACCGUUAGGGGAGUCUAUACAAUAGCCCCGUGUCCGUCAUCGUCGUCGUAUCCUGUGGCACGUUUCUUAACCACUAGUGCUAAGAACUUGAAACUUUGUACACAUGACCCCCUAGGUCAGAGGUACUCUGACACUGAAUUAACCGAGUUGUUGUACACUCCUUACAUUGUCAUUGUCUUGUCUAUUUAUGGUAAUUUCAAUAAUUACAUUAAAAUCCUUGUAUCAUUUGA